UGAGGAAUAUUGCACAAUGGGCGCAAGCCUGAUGCAGCAACGCCGCGUGCGGGACGAAGGCCUUCGGGCCGUAAACCGCUUUUCUGGGGAAAGAGCAAGGACGGUACCUCAGGAAUAAGUUUCGGCUAACUACGUGCCAGCAGCCGCGGUAAAACGUAGGAGGCGAGCGUUAUCCGGAUUUACUGGGCGUAAAGCGCACGCAGGCGGCUCUGUGAGUCGGACGUGAAAGCUCCCGGCUUAACCGGGAGAGGCCGUUCGAUACUGCGGGGCUUGAGGUAGGGAGAGGAAUGCGGAAUUCCCGGUGUAGUGGUGGAAUGCGUAGAUAUCGGGAGGAACACCUGUAGCGAAAGCGGCAUUCUGGCCCUCACCUGACGCUGAGGUGCGAAAGCGUGGGUAGCAAACAG
rnacentral:rRNA from 1 species